rnacentral:rRNA from 1 species
CCUACGGGAGGCAGCAGUGGGGAAUUUUGGACAAUGGGCGCAAGCCUGAUCCAGCCAUGCCGCGUGAGUGAAGAAGGCCUUCGGGUUGUAAAGCUCUUUCGGCCGGGAAGAAAUCGUGGUCUCUAACAUAGGCCAUGGAUGACGGUACCGGACUAAGAAGCACCGGCUAACUACGUGCCAGCAGCCGCGGUAAUACGUAGGGUGCGAGCGUUAAUCGGAAUUACUGGGCGUAAAGCGUGCGCAGGCGGUUUUGUAAGACAGAUGUGAAAUCCCCGGGCUUAACCUGGGAACUGCGUUUGUGACUGCAAGGCUAGAGUACGGCAGAGGGGGGUGGAAUUCCUGGUGUAGCAGUGAAAUGCGUAGAGAUCAGGAGGAACACCGAUGGCGAAGGCAGCCCCCUGGGCCUGUACUGACGCUCAUGCACGAAAGCGUGGGGAGCAAACAGGAUUAGAUACCCUGGUAGUCCACGCCCUAAACGAUGUCGACUAGUCGUUCGGAGCAGCAAUGCACUGAGUGACGCAGCUAACGCGUGAAGUCGACCGCCUGGGGAGUACUGCCGCAAGGUUAAAACUCAAAUGAAUUGACGG